rnacentral:lncRNA from 1 species
AAGGACUGUGCUCCCAAUCCGCUUACGCUCAAGGAAGAACUGCCUGGAAGCCCUCCCUGGUACCAUACCCCAGCCGAUGAGUAUGUACCCCCAGAAGUACUUCCGCUCAGAGAAGAAGGAGACGGCAAGCAGGGUGUACAGGAAGGCCCAGAACCAGCCUGCUGUCAGGAUCAGAACAAAAGAGGAGGACUGCAUAUGUAUGGACCCACUCCAGAUGGCACGGGGACGGGGGGAGUAGGAAAAGUGGCAUGAUGAGGAAAUGGAGGCACAGACUGAUUAGAAAACCAGCUCAAGGUCAUGUUGCUGGGUUACUCAGGCUGAAAUGCUCAAGACACUCUGUCUCAAGGGAUUUGUGGCUGUUUCAUCCUCAAGUAUAGGGGGAAUAGUGGCCAGGAAGAUCUCAGAGGUGGCUUCUGGAAGAGGAAUCUGGGUACUGGCUACCCUGCCUUGUGUCCCAUCAUUGGUCUGUCUUGCCUGUCUUGGAGCACAUUUCUCACCAAGAAAUACUUCUAAGGGGCCAGGCGUGGUGACUCAUGCUUGUAAUUCCAAGCACUUUGGGAGGCUGAGGCAGGUGGAUCACCUGAAGCCAGGAGUUCAAGAGCAGCCUGGCCAACAUGGCGAAACCCUGUCUCUACUAAAAAUACAAAAUUUAGCCAGGCAUGGUGGCGGGAGCCUGUAAUCUCAGCUCCUAGGGAGGCUGAGCCAGAAGAAUCGCUUAAACCUGGAAGCUGGAGGUUGCAGUGAGCCAAGAUCACACCACCACACUCCAGCCUGGGUGACAGAGCAAGACUCCAUCUCAAAAAGAAAAAAAAGAAAAAAAGGAAAUACUUCUAAGUUAUGUGAGAGAGUACAUACUGACAUUUUCAAUGGGUACAAUAA